rnacentral:rRNA from 1 species
UACGUAGGCAGCGAGCGUUGUUCGGAUUUACUGGGCGUAAAGGGUGUGUAGGCGGUUGGUUAAGUUUGGUGUGAAAUCUCCCGGCUCAACUGGGAGGGUGCGCCGAAUACUGAAUGACUUGGAGUGCGGGAGAGGAAAGUGGAAUUCCUGGUGUAGCGGUGAAAUGCGUAGAUAUCAGGAGGAACACCGGUGGUGUAGACGGCUUUCUGGACCGUAACUGACGCUGAGACACGAAAGCGUGGGUAGCAAACAGG